AUUGAACGCUGGCGGCAGGCCUAACACAUGCAAGUCGAGCGGAUGAAGGGAGCUUGCUCCUGGAUUCAGCGGCGGACGGGGGAGUAAUGCCUAGGAAUCUGCCGGGUAGUGGGGGAUAACGUCCGGAAACGGGCGCUAAUACCGCAUACGUCCUGAGGGAGAAAGUGGGGGAUCUUCGGACCUCACGCUAUCAGAUGAGCCUAGGUCGGAUUAGCUAGUUGGUGGGGUAAAGGCCUACUAAGGCGACGAUCCGUAACUGGUCUGAGAGGAUGAUCAGUCACACUGGAACUGAGACACGGUCCAGACUCCUACGGGAGGCCGCAGUGGGGAAUAUUGGACAAUGGGCGAAAGCCUGAUCCAGCCAUGCCGCGUGUGUGAAGAAGGUCUUCGGAUUGUAAAGCACUUUAAGUUGGGAGGAAGGGCAGUAAGUUAAUACCUUGCUGUUUUGACGUUACCAACAGAAUAAGCACCGGCUAACUUCGUG
rnacentral:rRNA from 1 species